UACGUAGGUGACAAGCGUUAUCCGGAAUUACUGGGCGUAAAGCGCACGCAGGCGGCGCGGUAAGUCUGAUGUGAAAUCUCCCGGCUUAACUGGGAGGGGUCAUUGGAAACUGCCGAGCUUGAGGCGAUGAGAGGGGUGUAGAAUUCCCGGUGUAGUGGUGGAAUGCGUAGAUAUCGGGAGGAAUACCAGUGGCGAAAGCGGCGCCCUGGCAUUAGCCUGACGCUCAUGUGCGAAGGCGUGGGGAGCGAACGGG
rnacentral:rRNA from 1 species